rnacentral:lncRNA from 1 species
GUACAAUACAGAGUCUCUAUAAUGUCUCACUUCACAGAUGGCAGGAACUGGAUCUGUUUAAACAGGGCUUUCUGAAUCAUUUACACAGACAAUUGAGAGGCAGGCAGUCAUAUAAGGGAAAAGGAUGGAGGACUACACGUCUUAUUGUUACUAGUAUGUCUCUAUUAGUUUGUCUCUGUUCCUUGGAUGUAAGCAUGGAAAUGGCAUUUAAAAAUAAAUCAGCUGAACUAGUUGAUAACAAUGUCACAAAAUGCAUGAUGAACAGUGGACAAACAAAAUUGAAGUCUUUGCAAAUUUUUCCUGGACUCUUCCACAUCCCUGGCAGCAUUUGGCUUGAAAGGAUUCCACGGUGUAUAAUCAACUCAUUAUAG